CCGAGGGUUGGGGGCGGGCGGCUCCUUCUCCCCUCUUUGGGAGAAGCCGAGUGCCUGCUCCCAAGGGCAUCUCUGCGGGCGUGAGGGGUUCGGCGCUCGCUGUCUGGGGACUUCUCCGGGGCCCUCGCCUGUCCCCCACCCUGCCUGUCCCCGACCCUGCCGCCUUUCCCUUGUCCGGGGCACUGCCCGCGCACCCCCAAGCCACUCGUCUCGGACACCUCUCUUGGGGGCCAUGAUACACUUUUUCUUUAUUACAGAGCUGUCAUAAAUAAUUUAGCCCUGAAAGCGGCUUAUUUCAGCACACGGCUCGUCACUGGCACUGCCAGGUCGCCCGCUCUGGGCUGUCUGCAACCCUUUCCUCCUCACCUGGGUGGCUUUGGAGGAGGAUGGGCUCCGUCCGUAGGGGCUUAUGCGGGUGGGAGCAAAAGAUCGUGCUUAAAAGAUUUGUAUAUCAGCCCUCAAAGACCUUGUUUAGAAAAAAUAAUAAUAUUAGGGACUCGCUGUUUGCAUUCCAUUAAUGUAAAAAUGAGUUUCUUACAUCUACCUUUUCUGUUUUCCUCCCUGCAGUCAGGUGUUCACAAAGUGAGAAAGUCUACUUUUCGUUUUCAGGAGGUUUUUCAGAUUGAGCUGUCUGUAUAUUGACUUGCUGAGUGGGACUACUCUGUUUCAUUGAUGAAUGAGGUUCAGAAGAGUUAUAAGUACAAGCUGCAGCUCUCUGGAGUUUGAAAGACUACUUCUGCAUCCGCUUUCCACCUGGUAAGACUUGCAUAGCUCAAAAUUAGCCAUCACCAUACCCCAUCUAAAACAUUGUGCUGGUCUCAUUGAAGGCAAGUGAAGUUUCUCCUAGCUCUUUCUACAAGGUCCAGUCUUGCGAAAUUUAUGUUCUUUGGAGAGGAAAAAAAGCACUGUCUUAUCCUGUGGCUUUCUGAGAAGCAAGAACAAUUCAGUUUCAUUUUUCUGGAGAAGAAGUGAGAAGUAACUCAAGAAAAUGACUCUGGUGAUUUUUUUUUUAAUGUUCAUCAUGGAGUCUUCCACUAGUAAGUAAAAGUCUUUAAUUCAGUAAUAGAACUUUUAAAAUAUGUGCCAUCUUCUUGACAGUCGCUUGGAGUAGAGCAAGUUUUGUAUUUUGCAG